rnacentral:rRNA from 1 species
UACGGGGGGGGCUAGCGUUGCUCGGAAUCACUGGGCGUAAAGGGUGCGUAGGCGGGUCUUUAAGUCAGGGGUGAAAUCCUGGAGCUCAACUCCAGAACUGCCUUUGAUACUGAAGAUCUUGAGUCCGGGAGAGGUGAGUGGAACUGCGAGUGUAGAGGUGAAAUUCGUAGAUAUUCGCAAGAACACCAGUGGCGAAGGCGGCUCACUGGCCCGGUACUGACGCUGAGGCACGAAAGCGUGGGGAGCAAACAGG